GGACAGCUCUACACAUUGCUGGUAAUGUUGAUGUUGUUGAUUAUCUGUUGAAUAUUGGUCUCAACAUUGAAGAUCGUUCUACGGGUGGCUACACACCAUUUCUUGAGGCAUGUCGUCAUGUUCGUUUACCUGUAGUACAACGUCUCAUUGAAUCAAAGUGCAACAAAGCAGCAACAACUAAUGAUGGAUCAACAGCAUUACAUCUGAUCUGUUCACAUUUUGAUCCUACGAAUGACCAUUUAUCAGUUGUGAAGCUGUUGACAUCAUUGAGAGUUGAUGUGUCAGCUAAGAAC